UCAGCUAAUUAAGCUAAUGGGUUCAUACCUCAUAAAUGAA
rnacentral:tRNA from 1 species